rnacentral:rRNA from 1 species
GACGAACGCUGGCGGCGUGCUUAACACAUGCAAGUCGAACGGAAAGGCCCAGCUUUUGUGGGGUGCUCGAGUGGCGAACGGGUGAGUAACACGUGAGUAACCUGCCCUUGACUUUGGGAUAACUUCAGGAAACUGGGGCUAAUACCGGAUAGGAGCUCCUGCUGCAUGGUGGGGGUUGGAAAGUUUCGGCGGUUGGGGAUGGACUCGCGGCUUAUCAGCUUGUUGGUGGGGUAGUGGCUUACCAAGGCUUUGACGGGUAGCCGGCCUGAGAGGGUGACCGGCCACAUUGGGACUGGGAUACGGCCCAGACUCCUACGGGAGGCAGCAGUGGGGAAUAUUGCACAAUGGGCGGAAGCCUGAUGCAGCAACGCCGCGUGCGGGAUGACGGCCUUCGGGUUGUAAACCGCUUUCGCCUGUGACGAAGCGUGAGUGACGGUAAUGGGUAAAGAAGCACCGGCUAACUACGUG